AGAAAAUGGAAACUCUGAUGGCGAUUUCAGUUCAUCCAAUGGUGAGAGCUCUUCUGUAGAUGAGCAGCAAAUGUCAGUGGUAAAUUUGAAGAAUAGUGAUGCAGUGGAUGAACCGAAGGAGGAUAUUACUGUUGGUGUGGAGUGUGAUAACUUAUUGGUUACCGAAGCUAAGGAACUUACUAUCUCAGGAAUUGAUGAGUCAAAGGAUGAUACUUCUGUUGAUAUAGA
rnacentral:misc_RNA from 1 species